rnacentral:rRNA from 1 species
UACGGGGGGAGCAAGCGUUGUUCGGAUUUACUGGGCGUAAAGGGCGCGUAGGCGGCGCAACAAGUCACUUGUGAAAUCUCCGGGCUUAACUCGGAACGGUCAAGUGAUACUGUCGUGCUAGAGUGCGGAAGGGGCAACUGGAAUUCUUGGUGUAGCGGUGAAAUGCGUAGAUAUCUGGAGGAACACCGGUGGCGAAGGCGGCAUCCUGGACCAAUAUUGACGCUGAGGAGCGAAAGCCAGGGGAGCAAACGGG